UGUGUUUCUUUUCUCUCCUUCUCCCCUCACAGGUGAAAAUCAUCACUCCCCAAUCAGUCAACAAUCCAAUCAUCAAUCAGAAGACACACCUCCUCCUGUUUCCUACCCAAUCACAGUUCCUUUCCCUUGGUUUAAAAACCCCAUCAGUUGUUUGCUCUAGAGCUCAAUCUCUCUGUAAAUGCCAUGUCUGUAGGUCUCUGUGUUUCACGCUCUCUUUGUGUAUUAACCUCUCUUUUGUUUGAGCACCUCCAUAGCACUUUUUCAUCACCUGUCUCACUACCAUCCCUGUCGGGCCAAAAGGGAUUCGUAACUACAAACAGAGACCAUGCCCCAGGACUACCUGACAUGACUCCUUGCUGUCCCCAGUCCACCUGGCUGUGCUGCUGCUCCAGUUUCAACUGUUCUGCCUUAUUAUUAUUUGACCAUGCUGGUCAUUUAUGAACAUUGAACAUCUUGGCCAUGUUCUGUUAUAAUCUCCACCCGGCACAGCCAGAAGAGGACUGGCCACCCCACAUAGCCUGGU